rnacentral:lncRNA from 1 species
GGGAGGUUCAGAUCUGGAUACAGGUCUUCAUCGCAGCUGCUCCUCAACGACUACAGCUCGGUGGUACUCUUCUUUGAUGGUCCAUAGGAUGUAGAGCCUCAAAGCAUCCUGGAUUUGCUGCCAUAGUCCUCCCAGAUAUCUUGCGAUCAUUUGUUCUUCAUUCUUCAUCAGAUCGUUUCGCAUGACUAAUUGGUAAAAUUCUUCUAUAUAAUCAUCCACGGAUCG